UUUUUUUUGUGUUAUGUGCUAAUUUCUGGUCCAGUCAGAGAUGUGACGCUCUGCUUUUGAAAUCAAAGAGUGUUACUAACCUGUCUGUCUGUCUGUCUGUCUAAUCAAUCUUUUAAAGACUGACGCCACGCAGAUGGGUGCUUGGCACAGACUCCAUAAAUUAAACCAAGACCUUCAAACUGAGCUCGACUCCCAGCGCCAGCGCCAAGACCUUACAAACCAGCAGGUACAGACCUUGAAGCAAAACUACGGACAAGUCAAGGAGAUCAUCCGACAGCGGGAGCUGGAGAUUCAGAAGCUGCAGGAUAAGCUCAGCAACGCCAUGGCAGAAAUCGACGCAAGUGAGCAAACCGUCGGAAAGAUGCGGCGAGAGCUUCAGGCUGAGCAGGACAAGUUUAAGGAGCGGGCCGGGGAGUGGGAGCACGAUGGAGAGACCCUGCAGUCCCAGCUGAAGGAGAGUGAGGCCAGGCUGAGGGAGGUGGAGGCCCUUUUGUUAGAGAAGAGCCAAGCUCUCCGGGACCUGGAGAGACAGCAGGCCUUGCAGAGAGACCACCAGAAAGACGCCCUGAAGCUGCAGGGUCGACUGACUGAGGCCACCAAGCAGCUGGCAGCCAUGGAACAGGCGCGUGUGCUAAACGAGGAACGGCGACAGAAAUCCUACGACUUUGUGAAGGAGAGCCACGAGAAGGAGAAGGAGGCUCUGAGUCGGAGCCUUCGGGAGGCUGAGGAGAAGGUUCGGGACUUUGAGGAGAGGCUGCAAAAGGCAGAAUGCCAGAGAGAAGAUGCGCAGAAGGAAAAGCGAAGUGCUACUCUGGAAUACAGCGAGAUUGUCCACCAUCUGGAGGAGGAAUUGCUGACCAAAAACACCAGCAUUCAAAAGCUCACGCAGAACAUGCGAGACCUGCAGAUGGAGAAAGAUCAGCUGGAGUGCAAGUGCCAGGAGCUGAUCCAUCAGUUAUCGGAGGCAGACGGCGAGGCGCUCAAACUGCAAUCCCGACUGAAGACGGAGGAGACCGACUACUACAACCUGGAGCACUCCUAUGAGAAAGUGUCCGAGGAGAUCCAGAAGGUGCAUCAAGUCCUCAGAGAGAAGGAGGUGGAGAUCAAAGAAGUCCAAAUGAGGUACGACAGACUGGUGGAGAAGAAGGACCGAGACCUCAAUGAGGCCCUCGUUAAAAUGGCGGCGCUGGGGAGUAGCUUGGAGGAAACGGAGAGUAAGCUGCGGGCAAAGGAAGAACUGAUAAGCCAGUUAGACGGCCGAGAGGGCAAACUGGCAGCGGCGGAGUUGCGUGUCGAGGAGCCGCAGGUGAGCUAUUAUGAGCUGCAAGUACAAGGUGCUUGUAGUGAGCACGACAGUGGCGUGAAGUCCUCACAGAUCUCCUCGCCGCCAAAGGAAGGCGUCGGAGCAAAAGCAGAAAGUGACCCCGACGCCUCCGUUUGUAAAAGACAGAGGAUACGGUUUGCCAGCAUCUACUGCCAGAAAUACGAGGGAGACAAGCCGUUGGCCAGUAACGCAUCUUCUGAUGCCAGUCAGGGUGGGUCCACGUUAGACAGGAGCCCAUUCACUUCAACCGAAGGCGAUCCUGGAAGGUUCAUCUCCGUCAUCCAUUCCCUGGAGGAAAAACUGUAUGUGACCGAAGAGAAGCUGAAAGAAAUAACUCUGAAAGUGGAAGAGGAGCAGAGCCGACGGCUGGACUCGGUGAUGGAGCAGCAGAGCCGCUGGGCCCAAACGGAGCACGAGCUGCGCCAGCAUCUUGACGCAAGUCUGUCCGAGAUAGCCGGGCUGAAGGCCGAGCUGCAGGGAGAAGUGGACACACACGUGUCCGUCCUGCAAGAGGCCCGAUGCCGAAUGGGAGUCGCCACGGGGAUCUGUGAAAAGGCUCUCGCCAGUAUAGAGUCGAGUCGGGAGAAGAUCCAGCAGGUGCUCGGGUGCCAGCAGGGCGUUGAGGUUGGCACGCUGCACUGUAUGUUGCAAGAGGCCAGUGACGAACUGGUGAACGCCACGAAGUGCCUGAAGCAGCAGGGCGCAUUGUUAGAGGAGUGUAUGUUGAACGGCCGAGAGGCCACCGCCAGCGUCGCUUCCACCGAGGACAAGAUGAACGUCUUGACCAGAAUGUUGGCUUUUGAAGCACUUUUACUGAAUAAAAUGGCCGCCUCCGUGGAAAGUGAAACCUCACAAGAAGUCGGUAAGUUGGAGAAUAGCAAGCAGACCGCCGCAGCCUAUGCAGAUGUCUUAACGCAGAAGUUGGUUUGGGAAAGUGAGUUGUGGGCCGAGGGAGACGGGGAGUCCCGGAGUGGGACGUUAGAAGAGCAAAUGGCAGACCGUGCCGUCUGGGCGGCCCGCGUCACGAGUGAAUCGUCUCUGAGACUGCAGCAUCUGAAGCUCUUGUACCAGAGACAGAUGGAGGAGCCCAAAGGCCAGGUUAAGAGCCGCCAGCACCAGGGUGUCCGAGGAGCAGUCGGCGAGGCCGCUCUCUUGGCCGACAUCACUCCGCCUGAACUCGCACCCUACGCCGAGCAAAUUCAAAUGCAGGAGGCCCAUAGCUUAGCAGUGCAAGUGGUGGAGAAGCACCUCGGGCAGGAUGGCAGCCGUGGCAGAGGAGAGGCGAGAGGUGGCGAGAAGUUUGCCGCUGCCCUUAGACGCCAGGCCCAGCUCCUGCAGCCUUUGUCUCGGGACAUCGAGUCGCCGUUCACCCCUCAGACGUUUGCUUGGGCCGCUCACGGGAUCCCCGACGCGCUCUGCAGAAGUUCGUCUGUCGUGGUGCGAGAGGCCGUCGUUCAGGCCCAGAUCGCCUACGUGGCGUGCAAGCUGAGAGUCCAGCAUGACGAGGAGCUGAGGCAGUGCAAGGACGCUUAUGGCAGCAUGGAGGUUCUGUGCCAAGAGCACGUCAAGAACAUCACCUCCAUCCAGGAGCGCUACGACAAGGCCCUGCUGGAGGAGAGGUGUGCUUAUGAAGCGGCUGUCGCCCGUCUGAAAGAAGAAAAUGAGGCUUUAAGAGCGGAAGCCUCCCGGCACUUGUCGGAGAUCUCCAGACAACAGCAAAAGCUCUUCGACGUGGAGGAAGGCUUCACCCGUGACAUGGAGGAGCUGAAGCACAAGUGCAGGUCUGAGCUCCAGGAGGCUCGACAGAAGCAGGCGGCCGGAGAGGCGGAGAGCCAACGCAGGCUGGAGGAGAUGCAAGGUGACGUGGAGCGGGCCGAGGAGCGGCACAGGCAGCACAUCCGCACGUUGGAAGAGGACCUUCACCGGCGCAUAUUGGAGCUGCAGGAGAUCCACGAAGAAGAAAUGCAGCGACUCCACGGCCAUUACACUCGAGCCAGCCUGGAGGGGCACGGGGCUGAGCAGCUCGCCAGUCCCCCACCUGAAGUCGAGGCGCGCCGGUUAGUGGAGGAGAGGGACCUGGAUGCCAUGGCCGUCCUGAAGGAACGGAUUCUAGAGCUGGAGACCCAGCGGGAUGUCAUGAGGGGCGAGCUGGUGGAGCACAAGCACCUGGAAGGGGACCUCCUUGGCCUGAGGGACAGACACCAGACAGACUUGGAGAAGCUCAAGGCGACCUGCGAGAGAGGCUUUGCCGCCAUGGAGGAGACCCACCAGAAGGUCAUUGAGGACAUCCAUAGGCAGCACCAGAGGGAGCUGGACAAGCUGCUGGAGGAGAAGGAGCGACUGCUGGCGGAGGAGACGGCCGCCACUAUUGCUGCCAUUGAAGCAAUGAAGAAUGCCCACCGUGUGGAACUGGAGAAGACCCAACGCGCUCAGAUCACUGGCAUGAGUGCAGACAUAGAGGAGCUGAGGAGGCAGUACCAGGAGGAGCUGCAGUCGCUGUACCGGGAGCUGGAGGUCUUGUCACAGCAGUAUUCUCAGAAGUGUUUGGAGAACGCCCACUUGGCACAGGCCCUGGAGGCCGAGAGGCAGGCCCUCCAACAGUGCCAGCGUGAGAACCAGGAGCUCAAUGCCCAUAAUCAGGAGCUGAACACCCGGCUGGCAGCUGAGAUCACCCGCCUGCGCUCCUGCAUCACUGGCGAGGGUGGCGACGUUCCUCUGACGCAGGGGAAGGACUCGUAUGAGCUGGAGGUUUUAUUGCGGGUCAAGGAAUCUGAAAUCCAAUACCUGAAGCAGGAGAUCCACUCGCUGAAAGACGAGCUGCAGACCGCCCUGAAGGAUAAGAAGUACGCGACGGACAAAUACAAGGACAUCUACACGGAGCUGAGCAUCGCCAAGGCCAAGGCCGACUGUGACAUCAGCAAGCUGAAGGAGCAGCUCAUCGUAGCCACUGAGGCUCUGGGGGACACCGCCGGGGGCAGUGGUGCCAUGUCUGGAUAUGACAUCAUGAAGUCAAAGAGCAACCCUGAUUUCCUCAAGAAGGAGCGGGCGAGCGCCAGCCGCCAGACGAGAAGCUCGCGGUCCAAGUCCGAUACUGAGCAGGUCUCAUGGGACAGCUGACUGGCACCUGAUGGGUUCUCGCUGAUGUAGGUAACGCGCCACCCACCGCAUGUCACCUCCUGCAUGCUCACCUCCAUCUUGCUGUGCCUCCUGCCGCCUCACGCUGACCUUUUUCUUUGUUUCUUGUGCUGCUUUCGCUGUCUGGAGAGGCCCAGGCACACCUGACAAGCUUAAAGGAGGGCCUGACGGUGCAGGAGCGCCUGAAGCUGUUUGAAGCCAUGGACUCCAAGAAGGUCUGAGGUCACCGAGUGCCACACAGGACUGGCGCGUCUGCCCGCCUCUGCCCUCGCUCCUCAAGCGUGCAGUAGGCUGGCGUUCUGGAGGCUGGCACCCGUCAGCCUGCCUUUUGUUCUGCUGCUGCCCAGCAUGGCCCUUAAAGUGACGGCUGACACGCGGCGGGCGUUUUGGUUUCCGUCUGGAUUCUCAUGCGUGACUUGGAGUCUCUGAGGAGACCCUCAUGCGGGGGGCGAUGGGGUCGGGUGGCACCUCUACGAGCGGCCCUUGGUUGCUUUUUUUUUUUUUUAUGUACUGCUGGAAGUAAAAUUUUGUUUUAUCGCUGAAAUUUGAUUUUAAAAGAACGUGUUGCAGUGCGGUGCCAGGGGCCGUCUGAAGGAACGUCAGGGUCGCUAAAUGGGGGCUUUUUAAUUGGGGUGACGUUUGUGCUGUCUGGUGCCCCCUUUGUACCCACCCGUGGGUGUAGUGUGACUGGUCACGUGAUGGUGGGCGAGCACUGCGGAGGUCCGCGUGGGUUAUUAUUUUUGUACGUUGACCUUUUUCUUUUUAUUUUGGUGACAUCACAGAGAGACCCCCUUGCUGAUCGGUGGGUUCAGGUGCUGCUCAGAGUGGCGAGUUGGGGGGCAAUGGUGGGCAGCGGCCACCCUAUUUUGUUACACUGACCCCCCUAAUCCACACAAACAAGACCCUCGGAGCAGGUGGUGACACCUUGGAGGCCAUGUGCCCCUCUUCCUUGGUGCUGCCCUCCAGCUGUCCAACCCUGCCACGUGUUGUUCCUUCAUGCCAUCCAGGGCCGCUGGCAGUGCGAGGGUCUCAGUCCACACUGGCCUUUGUCUCCUUUUAGGGUCCUCAAUUGGUGACGUCACUCUGACUGCUUUGUCUGUGUGUUGUCUUUGUUGGUGUCUGUGGCAGUCAUGCCAGUGGCCGCUUUGAUCCAUCGGCACUUAGAUGGCAGCACUGGCAUCGCACAGGAGGGGGUGAGGCAGUCGUUUUGUCUCGUUGGUCUCUGCGUGUGGCUCAGGAGGGCAUCGGGGACAUGGCCAAGUCUGGAGGACUGGUGGUCAGUGCUAGCCAUGCCAUGGCGACGGGCUCUGUCACGGUGGGUCGAUGAGCAGUGGGUUGGCCGAUUGGCCAGCUGGUGGUGGAAUUCCAAUGGCUGGCAAUGACAGAAGAGUGGAUGGGGGGGGCUCCCUAACGCCUGCUGUACGUGACGCGGGGCCCACUGCAGCCCACAUUUUGUUUUCCUCGUCUCACCCUGGAGUGACAUGGCUGCUGUGGGGUGGCACCCCCAAUGUCCUAAAGUGGUGCCACCAGUCAUUCCCACCCUUUCUGCUCCCAUCGUAUUUUCUACAAUUUAAAUAAAACGCCAGCCAAGUGGCGUCCACUGUGGGCAGACGUCUGGGUCACCGCUGUCCUCUGCGUGGUGGCGACAGGUGCAGAAAAUGGCUGGCAGCCCCAUUGAUAUUGAGAGAGACCCUCGCCAUCGUCUGUAAAGGUUGGGUGGGUGACGCUACGCUGUGCCAACCACACCAGUUUUAAUUUGAAUGCCAGAUGAGCAGCAGACUUCAGAGUGUCAAAUGAGACGAGGCCGAGCCUGGCACUGCUGAUGGCUCUUGAUAGGUGGACCUGCCCACCUCAGCUUUGACCUUCCCCUUUUACGCGAUGCUUUUGCUUCAGCCGUCAUGCCAGGUGGUGCGGUGGUCCGUCUUUGGAGCCUCCUGCUGCCCAUGGGUAUGGCAGAGCACUUGUGUGUUGUGCCGCCUGACGCCACUUCAUUUAGCGUUCUUUGUGAUUUUCAAGUCCUGGCGCUGCAGUAUUUAUUAUGAUGAUAUCCCCGAUUGUAUCGUUUCUGUUAGAUGCUUGUGAUGCCCACAUGGCAUCAUUUUUAUGAUGUAAAUACAAAAGUCCAACUUCUUAUAACCUCAACAGUAAUAAAAGUAUUUUUGCACCUCU